AUUAACAAUCUGCAAGUGGUCCGAUUUGAACUCCUAUGAACAUACUGUUCAUCUUCUUUGUUAAAAAAAGUCUUAACCGAACCGAACACACUGAAUCCCACCCAUUCAAUCAAACAUCUCACUGGUACAGUUCAUGAUUAACAACGAAAUGAUGGUUGUUUUAAUAUAAGAUAAGUCAGAUGAUUAAAGGUGAAGAGAGGUAUACGGAAACAACGAUCCGUAAGUUUCGUCGAAGACUCCCGUCGUCUUCUCCGACGGCGUCGGACUUCUCCGGCGAGUUAAGGCAGUUGCAGGUUGUGCGAAAAGGGUUGUGGGUGUGCGUUUAGUGAAAAAGUAAGAAGAAAGUGGUGUCUAAACAGAUUUGUAGGAUCCUUGAUUCUUGUUUUGGUAACACUUAAAGUUUCCGAAUCAAGGUUGGAGGGUGUUUGGUAAUUCAAUGAAGAAAAUCGUCCAGGUAACACACCACAUCAACAGCUGCGCCAUGCAGUUUGUCUAAAAGAUGCAAACACCACAUCAACAGUUGCACCAUGCAGUUUGUCUAAAAGAUGCAAUUUUUGCCUACUUGAAUGGUAUCAUCAUUAUUUUUUUGUCCGGCCCGUAUUGUACGAAACUGCAGUUGAAGUCAUUGCUUUUAAAUGCCUUAUACAUGAUCUUUUAUUGCAAUGUAUUGAAAAGCCUCUUCAACUAUC